rfam:Desertifilum sp. IPPAS B-1220 NODE_14_length_129473_cov_31.6637, whole genome shotgun sequence.
GGACGGAUAGCUCAGGGGUUAGAGUACCUUCCCUAUUCGCCACUUGCCCACCGGGCCGAUGAAUUAGGGUUAUCGGCUUACUAUCCGGGAGGUCGCGGGUUCGAGUCCCGCUCCGUCCA